rnacentral:rRNA from 1 species
AGAGUUUGAUCCUGGCUCAGAACGAACGCUGGCGGCGUGCCUAACACAUGCAAGUCGAGCGGAGAUAAGGGGCUUGCUCCUUAUCUUAGUGGCGCACGGGUGAGUAACGCGUGGAUAAUCUGCCUGGUAGUGGGGGAUAACGCUCGGAAACGGACGCUAAUACCGCAUACGUCCUACGGGAGAAAGCAGGGGACCUUCGGGCCUUGCGCUAUCAGAUGAGCCUAGGUCGGAUUAGCUAGUUGGUGAGGUAAUGGCUCACCAAGGCGACGAUCCGUAACUGGUCUGAGAGGAUGAUCAGUCACACUGGAACUGAGACACGGUCCAGACUCCUACGGGAGGCAGCAGUGGGGAAUAUUGGACAAUGGGCGAAAGCCUGAUCCAGCCAUGCCGCGUGUGUGAAGAAGGUCUUCGGAUUGUAAAGCACUUUAAGUUGGGAGGAAGGGCAGUAAAUUAAUACUUUGCUGUUUUGACGUUACCGACAGAAUAAGCACCGGCUAACUCUGUGCCAGCAGCCGCGGUAAUACAGAGGGUGCAAGCGUUAUCCGGAUUCAUUGGGUUUAAAGGGUGCGUAGGCGGCUUUUUAAGUCAGUGGUGAAAUCUUGCCGCUUAACGGUAAAAUUGCCAUUGAUACUGAUAAGCUUGAGUACAAUUGAGGUAAGCGGAAUGUGUAGUGUAGCGGUGAAAUGCUUAGAUAUUACACAGAACACCGAUUGCGAAGGCAGCUUACUAAACUGUUACUGACGCUGAUGCACGAAAGCGUGGGGAGCGAACAGGAUUAGAUACCCUGGUAGUCC